rnacentral:rRNA from 1 species
UACGAAGGGGACUAGCGUUGUUCGGAAUUACUGGGUUUAAAGGGUGCGUAGGCGGGCCCUUAAGUCAGUGGUGAAAGCUCCGAGCUUAACUCGGAAACUGCCAUUGAUACUAUAGGUCUUGAAUUCGGUCGAGGUUGGCGGAAUGUGUCGUGUAGCGGUGAAAUGCUUAGAUAUGACACAGAACACCGAUUGCGAAGGCAGCUAGCUAGACCGACAUUGACGCUGAGGCACGAAAGCGUGGGGAUCAAACAGG